CGCAUAACAUUCCGGGGACCUCGGUCCCUGGUUUCAAAGGCGUAAGUCGUCGGAGGAGGAGCCCGCGCACGAUUAGCUAGUUGGUAGGGUAACGGCCUACCAAGGCUAUGAUCGUUAGCUGGUCUGAGAGGAUGGCCAGCCACACUGGAACUGAGACACGGUCCAGACUCCUACGGGAGGCAGCAGUGGGGAAUAUUGCGCAAUGGGCGAAAGCCUGACGCAGCGACGCCGCGUGGGGGAUGAAGCUUCUCGGAGUGUAAACCCCUUUCGACCCGGACGAAUGCCCCGCAAGGGGAGUGACGGUACGGGUAUAAGAAGCCCCGGCUAACUACGUGCCAGCAGCCCGCGGUAAUACGUAGGGGGCCAGCGUUGCUCGGAAUUACUGGGUGUAAAGGGUUCGUAGGCGGUGCGGCAAGUCGGGAGUGAAAUCUUCUGGGCUCAACCCAGAGGCUGCUUCCGAAACUGCCGUGCUCGAAUGUGGGAGAAGCGUGUGGAAUUGC
rnacentral:rRNA from 1 species